rnacentral:lncRNA from 1 species
ACGAUGCCGAUAUAAAGUUACUAGUCACAGAGCUCGAGAGUUGCGCUGCCGACGGUUGCCGUGGCUUCUCGAAGGAGCAACAAACUUUUUUCAGUAACGAACAGUUGCAGUGAGUAUGAGAUACUCUGGAGACAAGGCGGGCCUGUAGUUUGGUCAUGACCCUGAGCGAGAUACUCUGGAGACACGGCGGGCCUGUAGUUUGGCCAUGACCCUGAGCGAGAUACUCUGGAGACACGGCGGGCAUGUAGUUUGGCCAUGACCCUGAGCGAGAUACUCUGGAGACAAGGCGGGCCUGUAGUUUGGCCAUGACCCUGAGCGAGAUACUCUGGAGACACGGCGGGCAUGUAGUUUGGCCAUGACCCUGAGCGAGAUACUCUGGAGACAAGGCGGGCCUGUAGUUUGGCCAUGACCCUGAGCGAGAUACUCUGGAGACACGGCGGGCAUGUAGUUUGGCCAUGACCCUGAGCGAGAUACUCUGGAGACAAGGCGGGCCUGUAGUUUGGCCAUGACCCUGAGCACUUGCUAAUAAAGGGUUCCCCGUGCUUCAAUAGCUGUAGAUCACGAGGUGUUGGAUUUCUUGUGCGCGUUCUCUGCAGUAUCGUGUCGUUCUGCGCCCAAGCUCUUCAGUAGGGUUACAUCGUGUAGUUCCUUGACGUGCUUUGUGGGACCGCGUGGAGUCUCGCGCCCAUAAUAUGUUCAAUCGAAAUGUGGGAUAUGAUGACGGUGGCGUAACAGCGGAGGCCACCGGCGCAGAUUUCGGGAGGUACACUUCGUAUUAAUUUCGCAACCUUUUAUUUUGGUUUCCAUUUUGACUCUCCAAUCCUUGGCGUUCUUAGGGAUUACGUCCCACGUUACUCUCCGGCUGUUGUGCCUCCCGAUCAUGUGCUUAUACACCGCGCGGCUGAAGAACGAGCCCAUGUUCCCGAUGAACACCUGCCCGUGAGCGAGAAAAUCCAGCGCUUCCAGCGCAACCCUCCGUCUCCUCCUUGACGAUGUCGUCCAUGUUCUCUAUCCAUCCCUUCCCAUGCUUUAGCUUGGAGCGG